rnacentral:rRNA from 1 species
UAGGGAAUCUUGCGCAAUGGGCGAAAGCCUGACGCAGCCAUGCCGCGUGAAUGAUGAAGGUCUUAGGAUUGUAAAAUUCUUUCACCGGGAAGAUAAUGACGGUACCCGGAGAAGAAGCCCCGGCUAACUUCGUGCCAGCAGCCGCGGUAAUACGAAGGGGCUAGCGUUGCUCGGAAUUACUGGGCGUAAAGGGCGCGUAGGCGGAUAUUUAAGUUGGGGGUGAAAGCCCGGGGCUCAACCUCGGAAUAGCCUUCAAUACUGGAUAUCUUGAGUUCGGGAGAGGUGAGUGGAAUGCCGAGUGUAGAGGUGAAAUUCGUAGAUAUUCGGCGGAACACCAGUGGCGAAGGCGACUCACUGGCCCGAUACUGACGUUGAGGCGCGAAAGCGUGGGGAGCAAACAGGAUUAGAUACCCUGGUAGUCCACGCCGUAAACGAUGAGUGCUAGUUGUCGGCAUGCAUGCAUGUCGGUGACGCAGCUAACGCAUUAAGCACUCCGCCUGGGGAGUACGGUCGCAAGGUUAAAACUUAAAUGAAUUGACGGGGUC